rnacentral:rRNA from 1 species
GGUUGAUCCUGCCAGAGGCCAUUGCUAUUGGGAUUCGAUUUAGCCAUGCUAGUCGUACGAGUUCAUACUCGUGGCGAAUAGCUCAGUAACACGUGGCCAAACUACCCUUCGGAGCACGAUACCCUCGGGAAACUGAGGCUAAUAGUGCAUACCGCAUCACACCUGGAAUGAGUGAUGCGCCAAACGCUCCGGCGCCGAAGGAUGUGGCUGCGGCCGAUUAGGUAGACGGUGGGGUAACGGCCCACCGUGCCAAUAAUCGGUACGGGUCAUGAGAGUGAGAACCCGGAGACGGAAUCUGAGACAAGAUUCCGGGCCCUACGGGGCGCAGCAGGCGCGAAACCUUUACACUGCACGACAGUGCGAUAAGGGAAUCCCAAGUGCGUAGGCAUAGAGCCUACGCUUUUGUCCACCGUAGGGAGGUGGACGAAUAAGGGCUGGGCAAGACCGGUGCCAGCCGCCGCGGUAAUACCGGCAGCCCGAGUGAUGGCCGAUCUUAUUGGGCCUAAAGCGUCCGUAGCUGGCCGCACAAGUCCAUCGGAAAAUCCACCCGCCCAACGGGUGGGCGUCCGGUGGAAACUGUGUGGCUUGGGACCGGAAGGCGCGACGGGUACGUCCGGGGUAGGAGUGAAAUCCUGUAAUCCUGGACGGACCGCCGAUGGCGAAAGCACGUCGCGAGAACGGAUCCGACAGUGAGGGACGAAAGCUAGGGUCUCGAACCGGAUUAGAUACCCGGGUAGUCCUAGCCGUAAACAAUGCCUGCUAGGUGUGGCUCCCACUACGAGUGGGUGCUGUGCCGUAGGGAAGCCGCUAAGCAGGCCGCCUGGGAAGUACGUCCGCAAGGAUGAAACUUAAAGGAAUUGGCGGGGGAGCACUACAACCGGAGGAGCCUGCGGUUUAAUUGGACUCAACGCCGGACAUCUCACCAGCAUCGACUGUAGUAAUGACGAUCAGGUUG